AACGAACGCUGGCGGCAUGCCUAACACAUGCAAGUCGAACGAGACCUUCGGGUCUAGUGGCGCACGGGUGCGUAACGCGUGGGAACCUGCCUUUAGGUUCGGAAUAACUCAGAGAAAUUUGAGCUAAUACCGGAUGAUGUCUUCGGACCAAAGAUUUAUCGCCUUUAGAUGGGCCCGCGUUGGAUUAGCUAGUUGGUGGGGUAAAGGCCUACCAAGGCGACGAUCCAUAGCUGGUCUGAGAGGAUGAUCAGCCACACUGGGACUGAGACACGGCCCAGACUCCGCGGGAAGGAGGAGGGGGGGAAUAUGGAAAAAGGGGGGAAAGCCUGACCCAGCAAGGCCGGGGGAGUGAGAAAGGCGUUAGGGUGGAAAAGCUUUUUUACCAGAGAUGAAAAUGACAGUAUGGGAAGAAUAAGCCCCGCAAAACCCCGUG
rnacentral:rRNA from 1 species